GACGAACGCUGGCGGCGUGCUUAAUACAUGCAAGUCGAGCGAGGCCCAUCCGGUGGCAACACCGGGGAAGGCCGAGCGGCGAACGGGUGAGUAACACGUGAGCAACCUGCCCCGAAGUCUGGAAUAACAUCGGGAAACCGGUGCUAAUACCGGAUCGCCCCACCUGACCGCAUGAUCGGGUGAGGAAAGAUUUAUCGCUUCGGGAGGGGCUCGCGGCCUAUCAGCUAGUUGGUGGGGUAACGGCCUACCAAGGCGUCGACGGGUAGCUGGUCUGAGAGGACGACCAGCCACACUGGGACUGAGACACGGCCCAGACUCCUACGGGAGGCAGCAGUAGGGAAUCUUGCGCAAUGGGCGAAGCCUGACGCAGCAACGCCGCGUGGGGAUGACGGCCU
rnacentral:rRNA from 1 species